AGGACGAACGCUGGCGGCGUGCUUAACACAUGCAAGUCGAGCGGAAAGGCCCUUCGGGGUACUCGAGCGGCGAACGGGUGAGUAACACGUGAGUAAUCUGCCCCUAGCUCUGGGAUAGCUCCGGGAAACCGGGAUUAAUACCGGAUAUGACCACUUUAGACAUCUGCUGUGGUGGAAAGAAUUUCGGCUAGGGAUGAGCUCGCGGCCUAUCAGCUUGUUGGUGGGGUAACGGCCUACCAAGGCGACGACGGGUA
rnacentral:rRNA from 1 species